CGUAGGAGGCGAGCGUUAUCCGGAGUUACUGGGCGUAAAGCGCGUGUAGGUGGUCUGUUGCGUCUGCUGUGAAAUGUCCCGGCUCAACCGGGACUAGGCGGUAGAUACGGGCAGACUAGAGGGUGACAGAGGAGCGUAGAAUUCCGGGUGUAGUGGUGAAAUGCGUAGAGAUCCGGAGGAAUACCAGUGGCGCAAGCGGCGCUCUGGGUCGAGCCUGACACUGAGACGCGAAGGCAUGGGGAGCGAACGGGAUUAGAAACCCCGGUAGUCCAUGCAGUAAACGAUGCAGACUGGGUGUGGGUAGCGCAAGCUAUCUGUGCCGAAGCCAACGCGCUAAGUCUGCCGCCUGGGAAGUACGGUCGCAAGACUA
rnacentral:rRNA from 1 species